rnacentral:tmRNA from 2 species
GGGGGCGUAAAGGUUUCGACAGGGAUUUUGCAUCAUGGGAAGCGAGCAGCGGGGCGGGACCGCUAUAAAAUCCGCACCUUAAAAUUAACGGACAACAAUACUGUUGCUCUCGCGGCCUAAAUAGGCUGCCGUCCUAACCGGAAGUACCGCGGUCCGGGGUGGGCGUCGAUUAGCGGUGAACGUGAGCCGGAGGCUGCCUCUCCUCCGGCCAUGACGGGGAGGCUACCAAACCGGCGAGCCUGACGACGGGCGCGCUGUGGGAGGGAAUUCCAAAGCAUCGUCUGCGCUCGGAGAUGCCCGUGAGAAUAGGUUUCUGGACAGGGGUUCGACUCCCCUCGCCUCCACCA